GCCCUAAGAAUGAAAGUUCAUGAUUGGUUUCGGCCCAUUUUAAAGUAAAAUUAACGUUUACUUUAGGGUU
rnacentral:tRNA from 1 species